GGAUAAAGUCUGGCUUCCGUAGGAGUCCGGACGAAAUUUACCUGCACCUAGAGUCAGGAACAAAGUCCGGCGCCUGUAGAGUUUGGAUGAAGUUUACCAGCAGCUGGAACCGUGGGCGGAGUCUGGCUCCCGUAGGAGCCCGGACGGAGUCUGCAGGUGAAGUCAUGGGCAAGGUCCGGCUCCCGUAGGAGUCUGGACGAUGUUUUCCUAUAGCUGGAGUUGUCGGUGGAGUCCAGCUCCCGUAGGAGCCCGAGUAAAGCCUUCCAGCAGUUG
rnacentral:lncRNA from 1 species